AAUAUGUUUAAAAAUAUAAAAAUGUUCUUUUUAAAAUAUAAAUUUUUUCCUAAACAGCAUGAAUGACCAAGCUGUUCCAAGCAUAGGUUCAUUAAGUCUAUGCUGAACCAGUUUAGUUUUUCAUACUUUUCUAAAC